rnacentral:rRNA from 1 species
UGGAAAUUGGGACAAUGGAAACCCUGAUCCAGCCAUCCCGCGUGAGUGAUGAAGGCCUUCGGGUUGUAAAGUACUUGGCAGAGAAGAAGGUAUCCUAAUACGGGAUGCUGCUGACGGUAUCUGCAGAAUAAGCACCGGCUAACUACGUGCCAGCAGCCGCGGUAAUACGUAGGGUGCAAGCGUUAAUCGGAAUUACUGGGCGUAAAGCGUGUGUAGGCGGUUCGGAAAGAAAGAUGUGAAAUCCCAGGGCUCAACCUUGGAACUGCAUUUUUAACUGCCGAGCUUGAGUAUGUCAGAGGGGGGUAGAAUUCCACGUGUAGCAGUGAAAUGCGUAGAUAUGUGGAGGAAUACCGAUGGCGAAGGCAGCCCCCUGGGAUAAUACUGACGCUCAGACACGAAAGCGUGGGGAGCAAACAGGAUUAGAUACCCCGGUAGU